rnacentral:rRNA from 1 species
AUUGAACGCUGGCGGCAGGCCUAACACAUGCAAGUCGAACGGUAACAGGAAGCAGCUUGCUGCUUUGCUGACGAGUGGCGGACGGGUGAGUAAUGUCUGGGAAACUGCCCGAUGGAGGGGGAUAACUACUGGAAACGGUAGCUAAUACCGCAUAACGUCGCAAGACCAAAGAGGGGGACCUUAGGGCCUCUUGCCAUCGGAUGUGCCCAGAUGGGAUUAGCUAGUAGGUGGGGUAACGGCUCACCUAGGCGACGAUCCCUAGCUGGUCUGAGAGGGUGACCAGCCACACUGGAACUGAGACACGGUCCAGACUCCUACGGGAGGCAGCAGUGGGGAAUAUUGCACAAUGGGCGCAAGCCUGAUGCAGCCAUGCCGCGUGUAUGAAGAAGGCCUUCGGGUUGUAAAGUACUUUCAGCGGGGAGGAAGGGAGUAAAGUUAAUACCUUUGCUCAUUGACGUUACCCGCAGAAGAAGCACCGGCUAACUCCGUG